rnacentral:rRNA from 1 species
CAGACUGGGACUGAGACACGGCCCAGACUCCUACGGGAGGCAGCAGUCGGGAAUUUUGCUCAAUGGGCGAAAGCCUGAAGCAGCAACGCCGCGUGAGGGAUGACGGCCUUCGGGUUGUAAACCUCUUUUGUCAGGGACGAAUAAUGACGGUACCUGGCGAAUAAGCUUCGGCUAACUACGUGCCAGCAGCCGCGGUAAUACGUAGGAAGCAAGCGUUAUCCGGAUUUACUGGGCGUAAAGUGAGCGUAGGUGGCCUUUCAAGUCGGAUGUGAAAUCUCCUGGCUUAACUGGGAGGGGUCAUUCGAUACUGUUGGGCUAGAGGACAUCAAGGGAAGGUGGAAUUCCGGGUGUAGUGGUGAAAUGCGUAGAUAUCCGGAGGAACACCAGUGGCGAAGGCGGCCUUCUGGGAUGUUUCUGACACUGAGGCUCGAAAGUGUGGGGAGCGAACAGGAUUAGAUACCCCUGGUAGUCCACACUGUAAACUAUGGACACUAGGUAUAGGGAGUUUCGACCCUCUCUGUGCCGAAGCUAACGCUUUAAGUGUCCCGCCUGGGGACUACGGCCGCAAGGUUAAA